AGCUCCAAUAGCGUAUAUUAAAGUUGUUGCGGUUAAAAAGCUCGUAGUUGGAUUUCUGCUUAGCGUGACCGGUUCGCCUUCGGGCUGAUAUCAGGUUCACGCUGGGCUUUCUCUCGAGAAAUAUGGCUGCGCCAUGUUGUGUGGCCUAUUGCUCGGGUCUCAUACUUUGAGGAAAUUAGAGUGUUUCAAGCAGGCGUUUGCCUUGAAUAUAUUAGCAUGGAAUAACACUUAGAACUCUGGUUCUAUUUUGUUGGUUUCAGGGACUGGAUUAUGAUUAAUAGGGAUAGUCGGGGGCAUUCGUACUUAACUGUCAGAGGUGAAAUUCUUGGAUUUGUUAAAGACGAACUAAUGCGAAAGCAUUUGCCAAGGAUGUUUUCA
rnacentral:rRNA from 1 species